rnacentral:rRNA from 1 species
UGCAGUCGAACGAGAAGUUUCCUUCGGGAAACGAGUACAGUGGCGAACGGGUGAGUAACGCGUGGGAAAUCUGCCCUUUAAUGGGGGAUAACAGUUCUAACGAGCUGCUAAUACCGCAUAAGAUCCUUAGAUCGCAUGAUCCGGGGAUGAAAGAUGGCCUCUACAUGUAAGCUGUCGUUGAAGGAUGAUCCCGCGUCCCAUUAGCUUGUUGGUGGGGUAAAAGCCUACCAAGGCGACGAUGGGUAGCCGGCCUGAGAGGGUGUCCGGCCACACUGGGACUGAGAUACGGCCCAGACUCCUACGGGAGGCAGCAGUCGAGAAGCUUCCGCAAUGGGGGAAACCCUGACGGAGCGACGCCGCGUGAGUGAAGAAGGCCCUCUGGGUUGUAAAGCUCUGUCAGAUUGGGAAGAAAACUCUGCGGGUAAUAUCCGUAGAGCUUGACGGUACCAUCAGAGGAAGCACCGGCUAACUCCGUGCCAGCAGCCGCGGUAAUACG